AAACGUAUUGACUAAUAUAAGGUCAUAUGUUAUCGCAAAAUCUAAUAUAGUUUUUCCUUCCUCAUUUCUCGUUUCAAACCUAUAACCCCCAUGUACUCUCUCAUAUUCCUCAUUUUUCACUCCAACAUGCCCAUUUAAAUCACCUCAUAGUAAAAUCAUUUCAUUUGGCGGAAUAUUUUGUAAUAUUUUAUCUAAGUUGUCCAAAAAAUUAAUUUGGUAGCUUCAUCUAAUCCUACUUGCGCUGUAUAUAUGCUAAUUAUGUUCAUAGUUUCUUUUGUCACUAUUGUCUUAAGGGCUAUAAUUUUAUCCCCGUUUUUAACUACUCUUAAAAUUUCAUCCUUUAACGAAUUAUCUAUAACAAUAUCCACUCUAUUUAUUACUUUACUCUUUCUUGCGAACCAUAACUUAAAACCCGAGUUCUCUAUCAAUUUUGCUAUCUCGCCUACCUAUUUUGUCUUUUGUACACACAAAAUACUAAUUCUUCUCCUAAUUAUCGUAUAUACUACUUCCAUUGAUUUAUCGGUGAGUGUUCCUAUGUUCCAUGUUCUAAAUCAUAGAUUAUUAGUUUUUCUAUCAUAUUUGUUCUUAUCCAAUCUAUGAUGCGAGAACUUUUGCCUAUUUAACACUACACCUAAAUUCUCAUGGAGAUAUAGGGUCCUUGUCGAUAUGUUACAAUUGGACUUUGCAACGCGAACUCUUGCAUAUUUAGCACUACACUCGAGUUCUGGAGAUGUAGUGGUCCUUGUCGAGACGUUACAGUCAGACCCUGCAAUGUGUUUCUUCCGGGGAACAACCUAACAUUAAUACAAUAGUUUAAUGGAUCCAUUCAUUGAAUAUUUAUCAUAAUUUUAAGGCUAGCCGGCAACCUAACGCAAUGCAAUCUUCCUCCCUUAUCCGGGCUUGGGACCAGCCAUAACUAGGUCAUCUACUACUUCUAAGUCAAUGUCUCUUAGUUAGGAGUUUAAUUCUAAAUGCAUAUCCAAGACAUUGGAUCAGUGGAUAAUCUUAGACGUGGAUUCUCAUUCGUAGAUGUUUAAUGGGGCUAAGAUAAGGUGAUUGUGGUAGCUAGCUGUGUUGUUAAAGGCGCGCCUGAGAGGCGUCAGGUGCACAAGGCGUGGGGAAAAAUGCCUGUUCCCACGUAAGGCGUCAGGCGCGCGCCUAGGGCGCGACGCCUUGCACCUCAACUGAGGUGCGAUCGAGGCGCGAUCAUGAACAUUUUUGGAUUUUUACCCCAAAAAACAUUUCAAACCAAUUUGGUUUGGAAUUAGGGCACGAAGAAGAAAAGGAUUAAAAGGAAGAAGAAAAGAAUGCAAGAAGGAGAAAUCUGAACCCGAGCCUACUCGGAGCAUUUCUGUCCGUUGCCGCCGUCGUUGCCUGAGUCGCGCCGUCGCCCAUGCAUGUUUUUUUUCCUUACUUUUUUUUGUUUUUCUGUUCUUCUUCUUCUUCUUCUCCUCCUCUUCUUUUUCUUCUUCCUUUGUUAUCUUCUUCUUCUCUGCUUCUGUUAUUUCGUUUCUUCUUCUUUUUUUCUUUUUCGUUUUCACUUUUAAGUUUUUCUUCAAUCUUCUUUUCUUCUUCUUUUUCUUUUUUUUUUCCUUGUGUUGAGAUGCUGGUUCGUGUUUGUUGCUCUUCUACUUUUUCUAUUUUUUCUUUGUGUUGAGAUGCUGCCCGGUUUUGUUUUUUUACUAUUUUUCCAUUUUUGCAGGUUGAUUGGUGUCCGAUUUUUCUUUUUUUGGGUCUUAUUUUUCCAUUUUUGCUGGUUCGUGUUCUGUUGACUGCUGCUAUCCGAUUUUUCAUUUGUUUUCCUUUUCUUCUUCUUUUUUUGUCCUUUUUUUUAUUGCUGGUACAGUGCUUUUCUAUUGCUGGUAUAGUGUUGAUUUUAUUUUAUUUUUGAUUUUUUAGGCUAUUUUCUUAUUCAAUUAUCAUGGAAGGUAGUAGUGAUACUCUAACAUAUAUAUCAAAAGAUCCGGCAUGAAGUUAUUUUCAAAGAGCUAAUCCGGAUAACAAAAAUGAUUUGAUUUAUAAUUUUUGUCAAAAAGUUACAAAAGGGGUAUCUAUCGUGCAAAACAACAUCUUGUUGGGGGGUUUCGAAAUACGACUUGCAAAAGAUGUUCGCCUCAUGUAUGUGAAGAAAUAAAAAAUUUCAUGGAGAAAAAGACGGACAAAAGUAAUCUUUCUAAACUUGCAACAUUGGACUUUGAGGAUGUAGACCCUCUUGGUGAUGAUAUUGAUAUGGAUGAUAUUGGAGCUAAAGCUGUGUCGCCUAUAAGUACAAGUACAAGUUUUAGAUCAGUGACUAUGCAAAAAAAGGCCAAGACAAAUAGGUCUAAUGGAUACAUAUUUUGCUCCUAAUUUGUAAAAAAAAUGUUGAAAGUAGAAAGGGAAAAGAGAGACAAACUACGAUAAAUGAGGCAUACAAGAAAGAAUUGAGGGAAAAAGUUUGUAUGACUAUAAAUGAGUGGAUGUAUGAUGCGACAAUUCCUUUUAAUGCCGUUAACUAUUCAAGCUUCAAAAAGAUGUUGGACUUGAUUGGCCUAUGGUGUAGGUCUAAAAGGACUUAGUUAUCAUGAAGUGCGGGUUCCUUUUCUAAAAAAGAAUGUUGAUAGUGUGACAAAUGAUUACAUUACGUCAUGUGAAACAGAAUGAGCCAAGUAUGGUUGUAGUUUGAUAGCAGAUGAGUGGACAAACAAAAGGCAAAGGACAUUGAUUAAUUUUUUAGUGAAUUUUCCUAAAAGUUCAGUUUUCAUCGAAUUGGUUAAUGCUUCUGAUUAUGCAAAGACCGGAGAGAAAUAUUUCAAUUGCUUGAUCGAUAUGUGGAGCAUGUAGGAGAAGCAAAUGUUGUUCAAGUUGUUACGGAUAGUGCAAGUAACAAUGUGCUUGUUGGCAAUAAUCUAUUUAAUUCUUUCUUAUCAAUAUGUUUUUUCUUAUAUAUAUUAAACUUAUCUUGUUUUCUAACUUCUUUUGUAGGAAAAUUAUUAGAAGCAAAAAGAUCACACUUGUUUUAGAGUCCUUGUGCUGCGCACUGCAUUGACUUGAUCUUAGAAGAUAUUGGGAAAUUGAUUGAUUUUAAAGCAACAUUGAAGAAGACAAUGAGUGUGAAUGCUUACAUUUAUGUUUGCCCAGGUAUGGUAAAUAUGUUGAGGCAAUUCACAAGACAAAAAGAGCUUUGUCGGGUGGGUGUUACAAGAUUUGCUAUAGCUUUUCUCACUCUUGAAAGGAUACACCUACAGAAACAAAAUUUAAGAAAGAUGUUCAUUUCAAAGGAUUGGAUAGAGAGUAAAUGGGCAAAAGAAGCCGUGGGGAAGAAGGCAGCUAAAAUCAUCAUGACACUUAGAUUUUGGAGCAAUGUUGUGCAUUUUUUAAAGAUAUGUGGCCCUUUAGUCCGUGUUUUAAGACUGAUUGAUGACGAAAGAAAACCUGCAAUGGGCUAUAUUUAUGAGGCUAUGGAUAGGGCAAAAGAAACAAUUAUGAAGACCUUUAAUGAGAAAGAAGAGAAAUACAAAGAAGUAAUUGAGAUCAUUGAUAAGAGAUGAGAAUGCCAAAUUCAUCGGUCUUUGCAUGCUGCAGGACAUUAUUUGAAUUUAGAAUAUUUUUAUUCAUACACAGAUUCAAAUAUCUGUAGAGAAGUGGUGAAAGAUUUGUUUGAAAUUAUGGAGAGAUUGGUUUCAAGCGCUGCUGAGCAAGAUAAAAUCACUACCUAGCUCUCUAUAUAUCGAAAGGUAGAAGGGCUAUUUGGGAGGAAUGUGACAAUUAGACAUAGUAUUAUCUCCAGUAGCAUGGUAGGAAUGCUAUAGAGCAAAUACCCAGAAUUGUAAAAGUUUGCUAUUAAAGUGCUUAGCCUCACUUGUAGUGCUUUCGGCUGUGAGCGCAAUUGGAGUGUAUUUGAGUAGGUAUGUAAUAAAUAUAAAUGUAUAAUACUAUUAGUAUUCUAUUUUUAUUAGUAGAAAAUAUUCUUUGCUAUUUUAUUAUACUUAUUCUGAUUUUUGACAUUUUGUAGAAUCACAGCAAAAAAAGGAAUAGGCUAGCUCAGCAACGCUUAAAUGAUUUGGUAUUUGUGAAAUACAACCGUAUCUUAAAACUUUGGUAUAAUGCACGUGAUAAGAUUAACCCCAUUUGUUUGACAGAUAUUGAUGACAGUAAUGAAUGGUUGAUGGAUAGAAUGGAUGGAGAAACUGAUAAUGAAGAAGAUGAGUUGGUUUUUGAAGGUGAUGACUUGACAUGGGAUGCCAUUGCUAGGGCUAGUGGAGCUGAAGAGCCUGAAUAUUGUACUAGAGGAAAAAACAUUGCAUCCAUAUCCUCUAGUUCACAUGCUAGGCCUAAACAAGUCGAGAAGGGAAAUAUAUCUUCCUCUAUGAGAUAUGCAUCUCUAAGACUUAGAGAUGAAGAAGAAGAAGAAGAAAAAAUUGAAUUUGAAGAAUAUGAAGAUAAAGAAGAAGAAGAAUACAAUGAGGAUGAUCUUGAACUUGAUGAUUAAUUUGACUUAGUACGUUUAUUUUGAUGAACUUUGUUAGUUUAGAUUAAAAAGUUGAAAUUUGAAAGUUAAACUUUUAUUAAUUUUAUCAUUGUGUUUUUUUGCUUGUCAUAUUUGAUAUUUGUGUGUGUGGAAUAUUAAUAGUUAUCAUAUUUGACAUAUUAUAUGAGUGUGUUAGUAGUUUAGUAAUCAACCUCAUGUUCAAGAGGCACGCGCCUCGGGCGCCUCGGGCCCCUCGGGCUCUAGGAGCCCUUUGCGCCUCGGUGCGUCUCGCGCCUCUAACAACACUGGUAGCUAGUGCUUUUCUACAUGCAGAUAUUGUUUGAAGGGACAACUAGAUUCUUGGGCUUUGCCAAAAUUUAUACCUCAAUUAUGAGCCUCUUUUUUUGUUUGGAUUUGGCAUGUCUGGGCAUCUAAUGGUUGGAACUGAAUAUUUCACAUUUAGCCUGUCAGCAGACUCUAAUUUGGAUAUUUUGUUGCAAUCUGGAAACAGUCUGAUAGCCUGUCUCAUUUUCUGGACGGAAUGACCAUUGGAGUACAAUCAAUUUUGUACUUAUUUUCUACAAUAUAUAUUUUUGUUUAUAGUUAUUUUUGUGAUGUGUAGUAUUCUGACUAUAGCUUGAUUAUCUUGCAUAAAGUAAUGUUGGCAGACUUGUACGCUAGUAUGUUCACAUUUGAUAUUAGUGCACCAGAACACAUUUGCAGAGGUAUGUCGUCCUUUUUCACAAUUUUACUUUUGGAUGUAUUGCACAUGUAUAUAUAUAUUAGCUGAAAUCUAACUUUUAUUUUCUUUUCAAGGCAGAAGUAAAAUUAUUGAUCUAUUGACAAUUUUGUUCAGUUCUUUUUAUUCUGGGAACAAUUAUUUACCUGAUCUAACCAAUGAUUGCAAGUAGGUGGAACUGAUUUUUUUAGUUGCAUUUUUUCUGUCCUCUGUUAUGCUCUGUGGAAUUUUGAUAAUCCUUAGACUCUCAGUCCUCUUCUGAUUAGUUCUUGUACAUAUCUAAUAAAUUCUGGCAAUUUACAUAAAUUUAUUAAUGAAACUUAAUAAAGCCACUUGUAUUUUUUAUUCAUCAAUGUCUCUGCUUUUCUUUUUAGACAAUCUUGACAUCCGCUAUCAUUUGAUUCUCGGUUGAUUAUACUUUGUAGAAUUUUGAUCAUUAUAAGACUCUCAGUCCUUUCAGGAUUACUACUUGUAUUUAUAUAAUAUAAAUUCUGGCAAUUUACAUAAAUUGAUUAAUGAAACAAGAAUAUCAAUAAGGCCACUUUGUUUUCUCUAUACAUUGAUGUCUCUGUUUUUCCUUCUUAGAAAUUGUAACUACUAAUUGAAUAUGUUAGUUAAUUUUUCACUUUCACUAAUCUAUGAAUCAGAUUUAUGCUGUGCACCGAUGUUCAUAUAUUCUGACCACUUAUCCUUGCCACAAUCAGAAAUGGUUUUGAUUUUAAUUUUUCUUUGCAUUUUCUUUGGUUUCAUGUGACCAUUGACAAUGUUAAAAGUGUUCGUAGGUGGGAUCUCAUCAGUUUGCAGCAUAGCACAUUCUAUAUGAGGUUUGUGUCAAAAAAGGCUCCGUGUUUAUGCUUAUGAAUAGAUAAGGAAGAAAAGGAAUCAAUAGUGGUGAAAAAUAAAGAAAAAGAAAAAAAAUCCAGUUCGGAAGGUCAUGGAGGCCUUGCCCGGCCUUGAGGGCUUUCACAAGCCACAAGUCUUCUCGUGGUGGUUUCGCUUGGCUGUGCGGCCUCCACAAGGCUAGUGCCACUUCUUGGAGAGCUUGCGUCCAGGUGUGUCCGUCAUGACCUCAUGGAGAGCUCCGCCCAUGCAUCAAAAGGUUUUAGUGUCAGUCCGCGGGCACUAUAGUAAAUUCUAGCUGAGCUGACCCACACAACUUGGUAUCUUAUUCCUUGGUUAUAUCUAUAUCUUGAAAUUAAUUUCUUUAAACCAACAAUGUCAUUGUGUGCAGCUAUAAUAUUAUUGUUUCUAUAAUUCUUUUACAAUUUUUUCAUACUGCCUCGUAAUCUAAUGGUUACCAGGUUAUGCUUUUACACUGCUGGUGAUGCAUCCAUCUAGUCUGGCCUAUUCGUGCCUACAUGUCAUAAAAAUGGGUAUGUAUUAGUUCUGGAAGUUGUUAAUUCAUCUAUUUGAACUACAACCCUUUACAUAUUCAAGAAAAAGAAAAUUUAAUUAUCCUAACAAUUUGAGUCGGCUAUAUGGAUCUUAGCCCACAAUUAAGCUUUAUAAAAGUCUGCUCACUAAUAAUACUACAGUUCAGUACCAGGUUAAAGCCAUUUUAACCUGUAAGCGGCUCUGUCUGAACUUGAAUUUCUUUCAAAGUUUGUAAUUUUUUUGUCUAUAUUUAAUGAAUAUGAUUCAUAGUCUUUAUUUUGUGAAAUCUAUAUGCUUUAGGCAAUUAAAUUAUACUGUUCUCGAGUACAAGGAUUUGGUGGGAGUGGUCAGAAUCCAACAUGCCUGGAAAGAUAUCCACUAAGGAUGUUUCACCUUAUUAAACCAUCAAAUCACUAAUGACGUGUUUUCCACUUUAUUUCUUUCAAUAAUUACUAUUGAAAUCAAAUAGUCAAUGUGGAUUGGAAGUACUACUUUUAUUGAUUGAGUUGAAUUAUUUCUAUUGACUUGUAUCUACUUUUCCCUAGAUUUCUUUCUGAACUAGGUGACUUGAGCUUUUUCUUUUUUCUUCUUUUGAAAAAUGAUAUCAUAGAGUGAAUUCAUCUAUGCAUGAUGCAUUGAAUAUAUUGGAUAGCUAUGACUAUAACAAGAGCAAGACGGUCACAGCAACAAAUCAGAUCAUGAGCGUCAACUGAAACAUACUAGUGCUCCAACAACUAGCUACCACAGGGAGUGUUCGAUUACUGCAACUACGAACCAGUUACUUGAGCUUUGUUGCAUCAGUUAAAGUGGAUAUGACUGAAAUUCACUGUGGCAUUUCUGCCACUUUUUGUUUUUGAAGAAACAGCUAAUCUGCAAGAUCUCAACUUCAUUGCUGAUUUAUUUGAUACUGGGUUGAUCAGCCUUGCAAGACAUGCAUAGUAAACUAAAGCUUAUUUAUCAAUUCAUUUAAUUUAGCAAGGCACAUGCAAAAUAUAUAAAUGUAUUGUAUUCAGAAAUGCUGAUGAUCGACUUGUAUUUGAAAAGGUGUUCUUGUUGCCACUUUUGUGGUACAACUGGUUACACUGUUACUGCUCCUUGUACAAAUGUAUCUAAUGCUGGCUUUUCAGUUGACUCUCAAUGCUAUUAUUUAACUCGAAUAAAUUAAGAAAAGUUAUAGAAUUCUGGCAUAAACGAAUUUUAGAUGCUGAUCCUGGUUUAGAUACUAGUGCUGGACAUUAUAUUAAACCAAGAAAUAACUGUGGGUAUAAUAUGUUGAAUCUGCUGUAGCCCUGGAUCCUUAUAUUCUUACCUUGAACUGUUAACGGUUGCAGACGCAAGUACAGAUUAAAUUUAUUGUCAUCAUGCCAAAGCUCUCCUGGAGAUUGCACAAUGUACUAAUUGCUGGAGCAUGUUGCAGUGGUUUUAAUCAACUUUCCUACUAAUUAAAUGGGUUGUUCAUGAAUUAGAAUGGCUAGUGACUUGUACAAAAAGUGGUAAAUAUAAUGGCUGUGUAAAGGUCUGCACAAGGGCAAAGACAAUAGUAAUUCCAGGUAAAAGAUAAUAUUAUCAGCAGGAGCUGCCAAAGUUGUAGUGUAGUUUUUUCCUUGCAGUCCUUUUCCUUUUGUAACCUUAGCGCCAGAUCCCUUGGCAGAUUAAUUCUCAGGGAUGGCAUCACUGUGACUCACUUAAUUAUCUUGUGAAGUUGCAUCUUUAGAUAUAUAUUUUCGGCAGAUGGUUGUGCUGCCGCUGUUAUGGAGCCAAAUAUAGGCUCAAAUUGUCUCUCUGUUCAGCAUGUAUUCCAGCCGUCAAAUGGCCUCUUCCUGUCUGUAUACCUGCUUUUUGGUUGCCACAGGUAUUGUGGCAGAGGGCUUUAUUGUCGCAAGGGGGAGCCUCGCAUGGAUCUUGUGUUUAUCUAUUCUCUCAUCAUUCUGCUGCUGUGGAUGGACAAACAUAUGGUCUGGUAGAGGCCCACUGGGACAUAAAGACUGUUAGUUGUACAUCUCUGUCUGUCAAGGUGAUGAGGCCAUCUGAAUCUGCUGCGUUGUCCCUAUGCCGGUUAUAGCAGAGACAUGUGAUGGGCAUGUGAUCGGAGGGAUACGUGGCUGCUCAGGGAGGCCAAGCAUCUUUGCCCAUGUAUAUCUCGGCCUCAUUCAAUGUUGUAAGUUCUUUCUUGUCCCACACUAAAUUCUGCAAGCUAUACUUGUUUUUGCCGGUCAUUUUUAUUGAACCCCAACCAUCUAGUGAUGCUGAUGUCUCCUAGUGUCUCUGUUGGCUUG